CACGUAGGGGACGAGCGUUGUCCGGAUUCAUUGGGCGUAAAGCGCGCGUAGGCGGCUCGGAAAGUCGGUCGUGAAAUGCCGGGGCUCAACCCCGGGACUGCGUCCGAUACUCCCGAGCUGGAGGCAGGUAGGGGAGAUCGGAAUUCCUGGUGUAGCGGUGAAAUGCGCAGAUAUCAGGAAGAACACCCGUGGCGAAGGCGGCUCUCUGGGACGGUACUGACGCUGAGACGCGAAAGCGUGGGGAGCGAACAGG
rnacentral:rRNA from 1 species